AGCAUACAGUACGGUUUCUCCCAUCCUAAGUCGUGCUGAAUAUACACAGCUGUUUCGGUCUGCACGACGAAACUCACCAAACUCACGACGAGGAAAAACGAGGCAACAUAGUAUUUCCUCCGCGUUGCAUUGUUGGCGGAAUAUUCGGGAGUCCUACUUCUUAACGUUGACCUCCUCCUCGUCAUAUAAGUAGGCCGAGUCAGAUCAUUUCCGUCAGCAGAAGUUGGGCGACUUAUCCGCCGGCCACGCUCCUCAUCCUUCAACAAAGGCACCUGUGAUUUGGACCGAUGACCCCCAAUCCAAUUUUGCGGAGGUCGAUUAGUCGCCAUGAUAUUGUCAUCGUCAGACGCGUCAUCCGUGGACGAGUCCUUGUCGUGAUGCUGACGGGAGGAUCCUACGGGAGCCCUUGGUGUUGAAGAGUUCUUCGGCUUUAAUGCAUUCAGUGCGCUGUUAGAGGGACGAGAGACGCCCUGGCGCUGAGAAGUCCUCGACGUCCUCGACGUGUGACUAUUUACGGAGGAGUGUCGCGAGUGGAAGAGAGGCCGCGAGGAAUCGAAAUCGGGAUCAAUCCCGGUAGAGUCAUUAUUAAUUUCGACUCCUGUGGUCUUUUGGGGGUUUGACGAAGGCAUACAUGCGGAUCCCGCGAGGCGAGGGCCCGUGGGAGAGCCAAGAAAACGGAAAAAUACUAGUAAGAAUGAGUGACCGGCUCCUGAUAGAGGUCAAGGACAGUUCCUAUGUAUCUUAUCAAAAUUUAAAUCCCUGUUGGUCGUGACAUCUGGAGAUCUGAAAAAGACGGUGGAAAUAAUCAAGCACACCAGGUGCUAUCGUGACGCCAAAAAUGAAGCGUUACUGGGUCAAACUGAGAGCGGAAAUGCGAGAUCAAAGGGCUAACCUGGACACAAUAUGCUCAAUUACCCACUCACAUUAAUCAAGAACAUUGAAAUGAGUGUGAAAAUAUGAAGGACAGUCCUGGUAUGUUGAGCGUGGAGGAGAUCUUUUUGAAGAGCUCCAGUGGCCAUCCGUUGUCAGCCACAACAAUCAGGUGAUUGGAUUCCACGCAGGCACUUGGUGCUUUCCGGUUAAGCCUCCACGGGAUUGGCCAUGUAUGCGUGGUACAACUGCUGCCUCGGCAGGUACUUGACCCUGAAUUUCUUUUUCGCCCCUAUUUGGCGUUCAUCCAUGGGUUUCCUACAGAUUGCAUUUCUUUUGUUGUUCUUGUGCUCAAAUUCGUUCGACUUCCAGGAAAUGCAUUAGCGUUCGAGCCAGCCCAUGGCGGGGCUUGGCGCCACGCUUUUUGUAGCGUCAUCUUAUUGUUCGAGUUACCGCUAGUUAAUGCUCACCAAAUAUUAACCACUCGACGGAGCAUCCGAAAUUAAAUAAAUAAAGAUUUACUAUCGCCAAGGAGUGUUCAAAAGACCAAAAGAAAAAAAAAUCAGAUGUUCUAAAAGCAAAUCUCUACUGAGAGCAUUUGAUUGUCUUCUAUUUGCAUACUACACACACGUAGAACCGCUAUUCGAUACGAGCUUUCCGAUAGACGAAUCGAUAUACGCCUUGCCCAGAAAGUAGUGAAAGAUCGUGGGCUGUCAGG
rnacentral:sRNA from 1 species